rnacentral:rRNA from 1 species
AGAGUUUGAUCAUGGCUCAGGACGAACGCUGGCGGUGUGCCUCACACAUGCAAGUCGAACGGAGUAGCAAUACUCAGUGGCGGACGGGUGAGUAACACGUGGGAAUCUGCCUUUGAGUGGGGGAUAACUGGCCGAAAGGCUAGCUAAUACCCCGUACGUCGCAAGAUAAAAGGAGCAAUCCGCUCGAAGAUGAGCCCGCGUCCGAUUAGCUAGUUGGUAAGGUAACGGCUUACCAAGGCUUCGAUCGGUAGCUGGUCUGAGAGGAUGAUCAGCCACAAUGGGACUGAGACACGGCCCAUACUCCUACGGGAGGCAGCAGUGGGGAAUUUUACACAAUGGGGGAAACCCUGAUGUAGCGACACCGCGUGAGCGAAGAAGCCCCUUGGGGUGUAAAGCUCUGUCAGCAGGGACGAAUCAAUGACGGUACCUGCAGAGGAAGCAUCGGCUAACUACGUGCCAGCAGCCGCGGUAAGACGUAGGAUGCAAGCGUUGUCCGGAUUUAUUGGGCGUAAAGAGUUCGUAGGUGGUUUGGUAAGUCUGGUGUAAAAGGCUGGGGCUCAACCCUGGUACAGCACUGGAUACUGUCAGACUGGAGUGCAGUAGAGGCAAGCGGAAUUCCCAGUGUAGCGGUGAAAUGCGUAGAUAUUGGGAAGAACACCGGUGGCGCAAGCGGCUUGCUGGGCUGUAACUGACACUGAGGAACGAAAGCUAGGGGAGCAAAUGGGAUUAGAUACCCUAGUAGUCC